rnacentral:rRNA from 1 species
ACUGCCCCCUUUCUUUAUUCCUAACACAUGCAAGUCGAACGGCAGCACAGUAAGAGCUUGCUCUUACGGGUGGCGAGUGGCGGACGGGUGAGGAAUACAUCGGAAUCUACUUUUUCGUGGGGGAUAACGUAGGGAAACUUACGCUAAUACCGCAUACGACCUACGGGUGAAAGCAGGGGAUCUUCGGACCUUGCGCGAUUGAAUGAGCCGAUGUCGGAUUAGCUAGUUGGCGGGGUAAAGGCCCACCAAGGCGACGAUCCGUAGCUGGUCUGAGAGGAUGAUCAGCCACACUGGAACUGAGACACGGUCCAGACUCCGACGGGAGGCAGCAGUGGGGAAUAUUGGACAAUGGGCGCAAGCCUGAUCCAGCCAUACCGCGUGGGUGAAGGAGGCCUUCGGGUUGUAAAGCCCUUUUGUUGGGAAAGAAAAGCAGCAGGUUAAUACCCCGCUGUUCUGACGGUACCCAAAGAAUAAGCACCGGCUAACUUCGU